CUUCCAGGUUUCCAAGAUGCCUUUCCAGACUAGAACCCAGACGUGUGAACCGCUGGCCAGACACAACACUCUUCAAGUUAUGCAGGAGGCAGAGAGGAUUCAUCAGACUAAUUCUCCUGCUGCGACUGACAGAUCGGCCUGAGCUACAAUAGGGAGAAGAAUUAAAUGUAAAAACUCAAUAUUGUGGACCAGAGAUGGUGGUGAAUGCCUGCAAUCCUAGCACCUAGGAGACAGCCUUGCCUAGGGCCAUAGAUGCUAUUAGACGAGUGAAUCAGUCAAAGGUCAAAGUGUAAAAUGUUAUACUGUCUGCUUGAUGAGAGCCCAAGCUGGAAGCAUGUAUUAAAUCACACCCUGGACAAGGAUUCCGGAGGGAGUUGAAAGGGCAGAAGUUCCACUUAUCUCCAAGACCAUGACUGCCUCUGUUUUACAGAGUUCAGCAGCUUCUAUGACUGCAACCAGGGGAGCAGAAUUUUAUCAGUAAACUCUCUGGAAUGGAUAAAGGAGAUCUUCUGAGCAACCGUGGAAAUCCGACUGCUUUUAUGAUCUGUUGUUGAGUUGCUGUCAAUAAACUCAUAAAGGGCUUCUCCUAUGUGAUUAUAUCAAGAGCUAUAAAGGAGACAGUCAAUGUUAACACUGGAGUGAGGUAAAAAAUAUCUUCUAAAUUCAAUAUAAAGCUUCAAAGAGUCAGAUAUUUUGGAAAGUCUCAGAGUUUUAGUCUACGUAGCACCAUCUAGAGAAUUAAGUAGAACAUCUAGAGAACAAGAUCAGGAUCAGGUACGGAGACAGCUUUCUCUUGCUUAUGGAUUUGAGAGAUUUUAUGCAUCAUAGUAGAUGUGUGUUUGUGAAUGAAAAAUUGACUUGCUGAAUAAAUGAAGACAUUUAACCUCAGUACAAAAAUCCUCUCUGUAAUUUUAAUAAAGUCAAUGGCUAUAAGGUAGAGCGAACUCAUAUACUUAUUUUAAAGAUUAAUCACAGUUCAAAAUUGUUGCCCUCUGAAUUCAUUAGAAGUUCUUUCAUACAUUUGUGGUGGCUACAGAUUUUAAAGAAAAAAAUACAGUGUCAUCAUUUACUAUUUAGACUUGUAGAUUAAUAAUUUUAAAAUGUUAUUAUAUAUCAAUUUGAAAAUUUAAGUUUAUUAAUGUAUCUUCAAUAAUUUCUAAAUUAUUAUUAUAUACCAGUAUUUGUAGAAUUAAAUCUUUCAGGUACCCUCAGCAUAUAAAUUGUGUAUGGUGCUUGUUUGUAUCAUUAAACUUAAGUAAAUGUAAAUAUUAUAAGAGAAAACAUAAAUGAAAUAUCCAAUAUUGCAUGUCUUUGGAAUGAUUAUAGCUUUACACAGCUUUGAUCUGACAGAAAGAACUGAAUAAUAAAUAGCCCAUGUUUUGGAACCAAACAUCUGGUGUUGUAUUAUCUCUACCACUUAAUAACAUAGAACAAUAGGCAAGUUUUUCAACCUUUCCAUUUUCUUAAGUUUUCCUCACUGUAACAUUGAGUGAUUAGAGUCCCAACAUCAUCAUGUCAUAGUAAUGUUUACACAUAAUAGCAUUUGUUUAAUACUUGGAAACAUAUCUAGCAGAUAAAAGAUGUUCAAAUAAUAUGAACCCUUAUUAUUAAUUAUUUCUAUGUCUCUUAUAUAGCAUUAAACAUUGGGGAGGAGAAUGAACAUACAUUUAUGUCUUGUUUUAUUUUACCUUCAGUUAAGG
rnacentral:lncRNA from 1 species